rnacentral:rRNA from 1 species
GAUGAACGCUGGCGGCGUGCUUAACACAUGCAAGUCGAACGAUGAAAGCGGGAGCUUGCUCCUGCUGGAUUAGUGGCGAACGGGUGAGUAACACGUGAGCAAUCUGCCCCGAACUCUGGGAUAAGCGUUGGAAACGACGUCUAAUACCGGAUACGACGCGCGAAGGCAUCUUCUGCGCGUGGAAAGAACUUCGGUUCGGGAUGAGCUCGCGGCCUAUCAGCUAGUUGGUGAGGUAACGGCCCGCCAAGGCGACGACGGGUAGCCGGCCUGAGAGGGUGACCGGCCACACUGGGACUGAGACACGGCCCAGACUCCUACGGGAGGCAGCAGUGGGGAAUAUUGCACAAUGGGCGCAAGCCUGAUGCAGCAACGCCGCGUGAGGGACGACGGCCUUCGGGUUGUAACCCUCUUUUAGUAGGGAAGGAGCGAAAGUGACGGUACCUGCAGAAAAAGCACCGGCUAACUACGUGCCAGCCGCCGCUGUAAUAC